rnacentral:misc_RNA from 1 species
AACGCAUCUUGCACUAUUCGGCUUCCCCGGAUAGUAUGCCUGGUUGAGUGUCUGUGUAUCUCUCCUAAUUCAACAUUUGUUUGUUGGAAUAGGGACUUGGGGUCUUUCUCGUCAGCAAUAAUAAUUCUAUUGUUAUUACUGGUGAACCCUUUAAAUAUAGUAAGCUCCCAUCUAUUUCAUUAUCGGAAAUACGUAAACUUGGGGAUGGCGUCGUAGCAAUCACUAUUUCAGUAUUGUCGAAGCGCCUAUACAUACCUCUAAACUACGGUGCUAAUCCUUUAUUAGACUGGGCGAAGCUUAACGACUGGCAAAGUGCCAUGCUCCCUUUAUUUUGGAGUACACGAACAAUAAUGACCUCAACUCAGGUAGGACGACCCGCUGGACUUAA